GGCCCCUGGCAAUGGGCAAAGAGACGCCUUGUUGGUCGUGUUGUUCUUAUACCAGGGGCAGAGCAGAUGGCGGUCCUCUGUUCAUCCUAGCUUGAUGCCUGGCUUGGUAGCCAGAACUGUUUUAUUGCUAGGACUAACAA